rnacentral:rRNA from 1 species
AAUUUUGGACAAUGGGGGAAACCCUGAUCCAGCCAUCCCGCGUGUGUGAUGAAGGCCUUCGGGUUGUAAAGCACUUUUGACAGGGAAGAAAUGACAGGCGCUAAUAACUUCUGUAGAUGACGGUACCUGUAGACUAAGCACCGGCUAACUACUUGCCAGCAGCCGCGGUAAUACGUAGGGUGCAAGAGUUAAUCGGAAUUACUGGGCGUAAAGGGUACGGAGGCGGCUAGGAGAGAAAGAUGUGAUAACCCAGGGCUCAACCUGGGAAUUGCAUUUUUAACUACCUGGCUAGAGUAUGUCAGAGGGGGGUAGAAGUCCACGUGUAGCAGUGAAAUGCGUAGAGAUGUGGAGGAAUACCGAUGGCGAAGGCAGCCCCCUGGGAUAAUACUGACGCUCAGGUACGAAAGAGUGGGGAGCAAACA